GACGAACGCUGGCGGCGUGCCUAAUACAUGCAAGUUGAGCGCUGAAGGUUGGUACUUGUACCAACUGGAUGAGCAGCGAACGGGUGAGUAACGCGUGGGGAAUCUGCCUUUGAGCGGGGGACAACAUUUGGAAACGAAUGCUAAUACCGCAUAAAAACUUUAAACACAAGUUUUAAGUUUGAAAGAUGCAAUUGCAUCACUCAAAGAUGAUCCCGCGUUGUAUUAGCUAGUUGGUGAGGUAAAGGCUCACCAAGGCGAUGAUACAUAGCCGACCUGAGAGGGUGAUCGGCCACAUUGGGACUGAGACACGGCCCAAACUCCUACGGGAGGCAGCAGUAGGGAAUCUUCGGCAAUGGACGAAAGUCUGACCGAGCAACGCCGCGCGAGUGAAGAAGGUUUUCGGAUCGUAAAAAUCGGUUGGUAGAGAAGAACGUUGGUGAGAGUGGAAAGCUCAUCAAGUGACGGUAACUACCCAGAAAGGGACGGCUAACUACGUG
rnacentral:rRNA from 1 species